GUUUUAGCGGCGGACGGGUGAGUAACGCGUGAGCAACCUUUCCCAGACAGGGGAAUAACACACCGAAAGGUGUACUAAUACCGCAUAAGACCACGGGAUCACAUGGUUCUGAGGUAAAAGAUUUAUCGGUUUGGGGUGGGCUCGCGUCCGAUUAGGUAGUUGGUGAGGUAACGGCCCACCAAGCCGACGAUCGGUAGCCGACCUGAGAGGGUGAUCGGCCACAUUGGGACUGAGACACGGCCCAAACUCC
rnacentral:rRNA from 1 species